rnacentral:rRNA from 1 species
CCUACGGGUGGCUGCAGUGGGGAAUAUUGCACAAUGGGGGAAACCCUGAUGCAGCGACGCCGCGUGAGUGAAGAAGCGCCUCGGCGCGUAAAGCUCUGUCAGCAGGAACGACGAUGACGGUACCUGAAGAAGAAGCCCCGGCUAACUACGUGCCAGCAGCCGCGGUAAUACGUAGGGGGCGAGCGUUAUCCGGAUUCACUGGGUGUAAAGGGAGCGUAGACGGCCAUGCAAGCCAGGGGUGAAAGCCCGGGGCCCAACCCCGGGACUGCCCUUGGAACUGCAUGGCUGGAGUGCGGGAGGGGCAGGCGGAAUUCCUGGUGUAGCGGUGAAAUGCGUAGAUAUCAGGAGGAACACCGGCGGCGAAGGCGGCCUGCUGGACCGCGACUGACGUUGAGGCUCGAAAGCGUGGGGAGCGAACAGGAUUAGAUACCCGAGUAGUC